rnacentral:rRNA from 1 species
UACGAAGGGGGCUAGCGUUGUUCGGAUUUACUGGGCGUAAAGCGCACGUAGGCGGACUUUUAAGUCAGGGGUGAAAUCCCAGAGCUCAACUCUGGAACUGCCUUUGAUACUGGAAGUCUUGAGUAUGGUAGAGGUGAGUGGAAUUCCGAGUGUAGAGGUGAAAUUCGUAGAUAUUCGGAGGAACACCAGUGGCGAAGGCGGCUCACUGGACCAUUACUGACGCUGAGGUGCGAAAGCGUGGGGGAGCAAACAGG